UUGAAAACUACAAUCACCACAAGACACUCCAAAGGAUAAGCUUUACAAUUUCCUCUGUAGUAUGACCUCUUCAACAGCACCAACUGUUAGAGAAAAGCAAAUUGCAUUUAUAUUAAACAUACUAAUACAAUAUGCUAAUAAUAUCACUAAGUGAAUCAGGUGUUGCCCUAAAGACAGCAAAUGGUUUAUUUUCCAAAAAACCCUGCAAAACAUCUCAUAGGGCACUGAUGUAGGAUCACGGCGUUAAGGGUCACCAGUGAAAAGAAGUGGCUGACCCCCUUUGAAAGUGAUCCAAAGGUGUGGAACAACUCUCACCUUCCAAGAAAAGUCUGGCUGGGAAACCCUUCACUCCCAACGGCAAAUCUGUAACAGCUUCUCAGCUUGCAGUACUAGAAGCACGAUCAGCUGUCAACAUUCAUUCUUCAAUCUAGUCAUAUGGGACCUGUGGGAACAACAAACACAUCAGGAUUAUCAAGACACAGUGAGCUAUUGAAACAAUGUCACAAGGCUUCUAAAAGGAGCAAGUCGCAGUGUGUCGUUAUCCUCCCCGGAGAGUGUCUUGGAUGACUGCGGGGGGUUGUAAAGGGUUGGGGCAUGCCGCGUAUGUGGGAGAAUAGAAAGCACACCAGUGACAGAACCAUUGCACACUAGAGAGGCUGUGCAGGAAAGUUUACAUCAAAAACAGCUUUGCUUCCAGCUUGAUUAAUUGAAAUAAAACUGAAUCAUCAGACACCACAAAUAUUGUAGUCCAACCAUCUUUACAUACUAACAAGAAGCAUUUAUAAACUCUGGAAGAGGCCUUGUCUCGACCACCGCCAGGACCCAACAAACAAACAUAAGGUCCAAUAAGAGCAGAGGGUCGAGGUUCUCUAGCACUGGCAUUUGAACAUUCCAGUCAGAAAUACAACUGGAUGCAGAUACCAACAGUGCAUGUUAUUCUGAUAAGCCAUUUUAAUACUACAAACCUCUAACAUACCACCAAUCACCAAAAAGGGGUGUUGCGCCUUCUAGUGGACAUCCUUCAGAUCACACCUGCAGAGUGGAAAUUUACAGAAGUGAGAUGUUUGCUCUUUGCUAUGCCUUACAAAUUAAGGUUCAUCCUUUACGCUCAUUGAAUGUACUGCAGAAUUUUCCCACAAAGCUAAUGAUAUAGGCGACAUGGGUAAAGCGAUACUACAGACUUUAUCUCCGAGGCAUUUCCAACGACUACGCUCUACUGAGAGGGGCAAGUCGGGAUAGACCUCAGUUUAAUAAAUCAGAUUUCCAAAAUGCAUUAUCAAAUGGAAAAAUUAUAAAAGUAACAUUUACCAUUAGGACAAGCUUCUUCAGCUACAAAUGAUGCAUUUUAUGCAUUAAUUCACAGGAUUAUUCACCCACAUUGUGUUCUGGAGCCUGAAAGUAGAAGGAAACAUUAGACAAGAACAACAUGUCUACACUUAAACAAAUAAAAGGGAGUUUGAGUGUUCAGAAUGGCACAUCCUCUUCAUGGUUAAUAAGAGCAGUUGAACAUUAAUGCCAAUCAUCAUUACAAACUUCUAAUUCAUCAUUAUCCCAAUAAAUUCUUACCUGAUCACCCAGUCCGUUCACAGGAAGACCAUUAAUGUCAUCCGAAACCUGAAAGCACACACAUCUUAUUUGAAAUGACAAGUAAACGAUAAAAACAUGCACCAUUUUCUGUGGUAAACUGUCUCUUCUCGAUAGUAGCACUGUUACUUGGUGGCCACAACAGUGAGUUGCAAGAGAAGGGAAUUGUAAUUUUUGCACUGCACUAGUUCCUAAGCCCAUUAUGACUAGACCGUGACUAGUACUGUGCACUUACUUUCGAAAAACCAAUCCAAACCACUUACCAUACUGCAUAUGGUGCUUACUACUCCCGUCAAACAACACAGAGAUGCCUACGAAUUUCCUGUUGGGAGAAAUAAAACAACAUGUCUUCAUAUCGCCACGAAGUACAGCAGUAGAGGCAUGUUCGGGAUACACCAGGCCUCACUGUCAUCACUGCAACGAUUCUACAAUGAUGCAAGCAAACCUGGGGUUAUUCUAGCCAAGCCGAGAGAAGAAUUUGC
ensembl:lncRNA